GUAGUGCCUGCACGAUGAGUUUUUAAAUUGCCGCAGUAUUAUGACUGUGCUAAGGUAGCAUAAUAAUUUGUCUUUUAAAUGGGGACUAGAAUGAAAGGUUUUAUAGGGAUAGUUUGAUGAUUUUAAUAACAUUUGAAUUUAAGCUUUAAGUUAAAAUUCUUAAAUUUUCCUAAGGGACGAGAAGACCCUGUGGAUCUUAACAUUUGUUUAAUGUAAAUAAAUAAGUUUUUAUAUUAAUUUUAUGUUUGAUUGGGACGAUUAUUAUUUUAACAUAUUUCAUUAUUGAUUUUAUGGAGAUCCUGUAAAAGGAAGAAAGAUUAAGUUACCCCAGGGAUAACAGCGUUAUAUUAUUGGAUAGUUCAUAUUGAUAAUAAUGUUUGCGACCUCGAUGUUGAAUUAAAAUAUCUAUUUGAAGAAGAAGUUAAAAUAGUAAGUCUGUUCGACUUUUAAAAUUUU
rnacentral:rRNA from 1 species